CCUUGACAGCAGCUCCGACGGCACCUCUGUGGCUCUGCAGGAGCCGCCUCCCCGCCUCGUGGGCACACAGGCAUCCGCGCCGCUCAAGGACUCCAAAGUCAGCGUCGCGGCGGUGGGGCUCCGCGGGCAGCCUGGUUGCGCUGCACCCGGACGGGGCCGAGGGGACCUGAAAGCUGCGGCAGAGCCUGACCGCGCCGUUCUCCAGAAGAGCCCCGGCCGCGGCUGAGUCGCGCUCCGGGUGUGGACGGAGCCGGAGCCUCCCCGGGGCUCGGUGAGGACACAGGGCCCAAGCCCCGGACCUUCAAGUCUUGACCGAGCGCAUCCCCGGCCCUUCUGCGCCCACACCUGAGUUUUUGUCUGUAGGAGUUUCCGCAGUUUGCUAAGAAUCGACAUCUAGAGGAGUACUCACCACUUAAUUGAUGAUCAAUACACGUUCCUUGAAAGAACCGAUAGCAUGCGAUCGAUACAGAGCAUCUGCACUGGGAUUGUCCGCCCCGCCUGUCAGGGAGGCCUCGGGGGCUAAUGGAGCUGAGGGUAUAGUCGGCCUUGGACCCUCGCUUUUUUCCUUUCCUGUACUAUGAAGAUAACUGCCUUAUCUCCCCCUCAGGACUGUUUUGGGGAUUAAAUAGGACGUUUAAAUUACCAACGCUCUUUGAAAUAAACAUUUCAAAAUUAUUAUAACCCUUUAGUACAUGUGGGAAAACGUUGACAUUCAUGUUCAAGUUUAUUUUUCUGCUGGCUCAUUUAGGUUUGUUGAAGCCUUGAGUCCCUAGGAUUGUCUAAGAACAUGGGUAAAUGUGUGUGGAGGCCUCCCUGGAGGCCAGAGAACUGCCAGCAGCCUUCAUGAUGUUAGGGGAACAGGAACCUAGGAGAGCCAGGGUGACAUCGUUUUAAAAUCAACAACCCAUCUUGGCGGGCGCGGUGGCUCAAGCCUGUAAUCCCAGCAGUUUGGGAGAAAAAAAUUAGCCGGGUGUGGUGGUGGGCACCUGUAAUCUCAGCUACUCAGGAGGCUGAAGCAGAAUUGCUUGAACCCAGGAGGCAGAGGUUGCAGUGAGCUGAGAUCACGCCAUGGCACUCUAGCCUGGGCAACAAGAAUGAAACUCUGUCUCAAAAAAAUAAAAAUAAAAUAAAAUAAACUCCAUCUUAAAACCAGUGAAACCACCAUUGCAAAAUUAUAACUGAGACAGUGAGAGAUCUGACCUAACCAACUCCAUCCUACUUUUAACCUCCAAACUGUCCUUGUUCAUUCCUGGGUGUAGGCCAAACUAACUUUGGAAGAAACUUAGUUUAUGGUUUCCCGAAACAAAUCCUUUUCUUGUCUGGGUCUCUACAAUAAUAACUUAACUCUUUCAAUUAAUUGCCCAUCAGAAAAUCGUUGAAUCCAUCUGUGACCUGGACACCUUCCACCUGCAUCCAUGGAGUUGUGUCACCUUUCUGGACCAAACCACUGGACACCUUACAUGUAUCGAUUGGCAACAUGUACACCUCCACACACUGCUAAAUGACAAAGCCGAAUUUUGAAAUACGAUACUGUGAGGUGUUUGGAGAAGAGAACUGAAAUGACGUCAUGGAGGUGGCAGGGGAUCGUCUUGCCCUUUUCUUAUUUUCUGCCUGUAACUUCUGUCCCCCUAAAAUGCAUAAAAUCCAGCUAGAACCCAACCACCUUAUGCAGCAGUUCUUAGGACCUCAUGGGGCUG
rnacentral:lncRNA from 1 species